UGGUAUCUUACUUAUAUAAAUGUAGAAAGCUCUGCAUAUUAAGCACACAUAAACUUUUAUGAGUUCCCACGCUCAUGGCCGACUACUUCAAGGCCCAAAUUCUGGGGCGUUACAAGUCUAAUUGAGAUUGUAUCAUAUUGAGAUUAGAACUCAACUAUCUUUCUUUUUGCCAAAACACAAACACGCACGUGCACACAUAAGAACAUUCCAUAAUAUUCGACUAAUUGAGAAAAAAACCUUAGAUUACCUGGUCAAAUUUCUAAAAUGUAUUUUUUUAUAAAAAAAUUAACACAUUUUAUAAUUUAAGCAACAAGAAAUGUAGAAAGACAUUAUCUUUCUUAUAUAAAUGUAGAAAGCUCUACAUAUUACGGCAACAUGGUUAAUACUUUUUAUCUCCUUAUUUUACCUAACUUGGUUCGCCUUAACCAUGAUUUAUGAACUAGCUUUGCGUUGUCAUGAUCCCAAAGGUUUUGUGUCUUUGCUCGAUCCUAAAUCUAGUAACUGUGAUACAAUUAUGAUGUGUAAAUAUAAUAUAUUUAAUAUAAUUAAUAUAUAAUAUAAUAAGUGACAAAAAAAUAAUGCAAAUAGAAUAUUAUAUGAAAUAUAUUGAAAAUUAAUAUAAUAGAAUUAUUUUUUGAAAGAAAUAUAGAAUAAAUUACGAAGUUACAACAAUUUGAAUUAUUAUAUUUUACAAUAAACACAAUCAUUAUAUGUUAGGGAUUUAUAAAAAAUAUAUAUAACUACAGAUAUUAUCAUAUCUCACGAAUGCUACUAAUCGGCAAUAUAGUAUUCGAUGAGUAUUGGUGGUACUGCGAGUUCGAUUUGUCUUAAGUUUUUUUAAUCAACAUCUAAAACCUAUAUUAAACUAGUAUACAAUGAAGUACCGUCCAUAUUGGUCUUUAGAAUAUGUAAAUGUUGAGGGUUUAAUUUGUUAUUAUAUCAAUCAAAAUUAUGUAAAUUGAUGGAAAAUGUUAAUUUUAGUGGUUAAUACUUAAUUUUCCUUAGUUACUUAGCUUCAAAUUUAACAGGUAUUAAAUUGCCCAAUUUUUUUCAGAGGGAUCAAUUAGUUCAACAUCAACUUUAAUUUCUUUUUAUUCUCUUAUAAAUUGAGGAGUUUAAGCUUCACCUUUAGAAUAACUUAAUAAUGUAAGGGAACAUUGCAUGAAAUCAUGAAGAUGAAGCCUAAUUCUAGAAAAAAAAAAGAAGAGAAUCAUGAAAUUUCUUUUUCAAUGUUGUUCGUCUUUAUCGUUCUUAAAGAUCUUUUAAAUUUAUCUAAAUAAGUUUCUUAAUAAAUAAGCUUGAAAAAAAAAUUUAUUAUAUAUAUUACUCUAGACUGAAUAAAUAAUUUUCUUUUGUGUUUUUCAAAACAGUAGAUUCAUAAGUGGAUUCACUAGUCAAUUUAGAAUUCAGUUCCUUUUGGUUGAAAAAAUAAAAUAAACUAAUUAUAUAUAUUUUUAAAACAACUAUUCUAUUUUAUUUUAAAAUGUUUUAUUUAAAGGAUUUGUAUUAAUGUACGAUUGCAAUUUGAUUUUGGAUUAGUAUAUGAUUACUUUAAAUUAUUUAUUUUUUAAUACACAUUUGAACAAAUUAGUUUUUAAAUCAUUUGUGGAUUGAUCUGAAUUAUUUAAAUUAUUUCUUUAUAUCUUGACUUGAACGGAGGGUGGUUAAUAAUGCUUGUGUUAAACACUCGUUUGGCAUGAGUUUUGUAACACCCUAACUCGACCUGAAUCGUCGGGCUCAGAUCUUAGUUGUUAUUAAACACAAUACUUAAAUCAGUUGAACACUUUAAAUAUUACAUUUUAUUUAUUUCGUUAAUUGGAGGACCUAAAUUCCAAAAAUAAAGGAAAAUAUUUAAAAUAACUUGUUACCAUAGACUUAUCACGGCUUAUUACAAAGUAGAAGUUUGAUAAAAAUAUACACAUAAGGUGUAAUCCUACACUAUACCACAUUUCCACUGUUUGCAUAAUAACCCGAUACCACUCUUCCUUUCCUUAGUCCUGGCAUCGUCCCCUAGGCGCAGUAGAAUUGUCACAUUCCAAAAGUCGAGAGAGUAAAUUAGGGAUUAGUGAAUUGGAAAUCGUAAUUGGGAUAGUUAAUUAAAAUAAUUAGGAAUUAAUUAAACAAAAUUUUAAAAUAAAUAAAAUUUGUACUUUUAGGUUAAGAAAUUAAAAUUGACUGUGCGAGAAUUAAUUUGGUUAAAAUGGAUUUUAAAAACGAGAUUGGAUUUGAAAAUAAAUUUGAAAUUGGAUUUAAUUGAACAAUAUGGACCAAUUCGGAUAAAGGAGAAAAUCGGGGGGUUAAAUGGGUAAAGGAUAAAUUUUUUAAAAUUUGGUGCCUAUUUAACAAUCCCCGCGUCUUCUUCUUCCCUCCCAUUAUUCAUUCAAAAAUUUUCCAAACACCAAAUUAAAGUUUUUCUUUCGAAAUCAGUUCAUCCGUUUUUAUUCCUAAGCUCUGUAAACAGUAAAUUUAUUUUCAAUAUUGAGGAACACUCAUGUUAUCAUCCUUAAAAUCCUUAAGAGAGCCUCACACGUUUUAGCUCGCAUUAGGUCCAUAUAUCGUCAAUUUUUUAAAAUUUAGGUGAUAUUCUAACUUUUUAUUGAUUAAACUAAACUUUUUAUUCAUUAAACUAAGUGAGUUGUUAUUUCAAUUUGAUAUUUAAAUGAUUAAAUCAAGAUCUCAAUAUAUUAAUUGAUUUUAAGUUGAUUUCUUGCUUGAAAAUGGUAGAUCUCGUAUUUCUUGGCUAAGCUUCGGUUUUACAGUUAUUUCUAACUCAUUUUGAUAUAUUUAAGAGUUAUUUUAUCUUAAUUUAACAAAUCCUUAAUGAAUUUAAGCAAAUUGAAUGCUUUCCCUUAUUUAAUGAUCACUUAAGCUUGAUUUUUCUAAAAAUAUAUAUCAGUGUAAUUAUGUAAAAUUGAUGAUAUAUAUCAGUAAUUAGAUGAUAUAUAGGAUGUUUGGAAUCAAAAUUAAAGUUUAUGAAACUAGAUUUGAGUGGUGAUAUCGCAUUUUCGGUACACCUAGCUAGUUUUCGAUAGGUAUAAUACAUGUGAUGUGGUAUGCAGUUUUUAGAUGAUUUAGAUGUGUUUGAGGUUUUUUUUAAUGUGUUUGUAAUGUAAUUACAUUUAUAUUUCAUAUACAAAAAAAUUAUGAAUAAUUAAUAUAUUUUUAUAAUCUGAAAUAAUCUAACAUAAUUACAUUUAUAUUAAUUAUAUAUUAUCUACGUAUUAUUAUCGUCAAUUAUUUAUUUUUAAGAAAAAAAUAAAUAUUUAGUAAUGUAAGGUUUAAUUUAAAAUAUGUCAAUUUUUAUAUUUUUCAUAAAUAUUUCAAUAAAUAUUAUAAAUAUUUUAUUGGGAAUAUAUUUUAAUUAUUAAAAUAAUUUAUUUAUUUUAAUUAAGUUAAUUACUUAUUAUUUUGGACAAUGCUACUUUGUUUUAAUUACAUGAAGUAAAAGUAUAUUCCUCAAUGAAUAUGUUAUGAAUGCUUUAAUAUGCUAUCUUUUUUUAACAAUAUUCAACAAUGCCUAAAAUCACUUGCUUCACAUCGGCAUUAAAAAAUAAUUAUAUAUGAAGGUAGGGUUAAUAAUAAAAAUAUAUAAAUAUGUUUUUAUUUAUAAACAAAAAAAUUAAUAAUAAAAUAUUAUAUAUGAAGGUAGAGAUUUUGUUUCUUAUUGAAUGAUAUGCAACGUGUAAGAUAGGAAAGAUAUAGUCUAAUUGAGAUUGUAUCAUAUUGAGAUUAGAGCUCAACUGUCUUUCAUUUUGCCAAAACACAAGCACACACGUGCACACACAAACACAUUCCAUAAUAUUCGACUAAUUGAGAAAAAAAAACCUUAGAUUACCUGGUCCAAUUUCUAAAAUGUAAUUUUUUUAUAAAAAAUGUAACACAUUUUACAGUUUAAGCAACAAGAAAUUAAAAAAAGAAAAAAAGAAAAACAAUAUCACCUAAUUUGACGUAAUUUCUAAAAUAGGGUCUCAUUCUAAAACCCUAUAAAUAGGUGAUAACAAAAUUAUUCCAAUGAAACCAAAGACCAAUCAUGGGAGUCUCAAACAUGAAAACAUGGUUAAUUUGUUUGGCUCUGAUUGGCAUAGUGGUGAUGGAAGAGGUGAUCCAAAUUGAUGCAGCAAUGACAACCCACCAUCCAGAGGUCUCCGGUCUUGUUUCCUACCGUCGCCUUCUCCAAGAAGUUGUUAAUCCUUGGAAUCGUGGCUGCUCAAGACUCACUAGGUGUCGAAGUUAAUGUAUAUUUUGAUAAUAUGUGAUGGUAUCUUACUUAUAUAAAUGUAGAAAGCUCUGCAUAUUAAGCACACAUAAACUUUUAUGAGUUCCCACGCUCAUGGCCGACUACUUCAAGGCCCAAAUUCUGGGGCGUUACAAGUCUAAUUGAGAUUGUAUCAUAUUGAGAUUAGAACUCAACUAUCUUUCUUUUUGCCAAAACACAAACACGCACGUGCACACAUAAGAACAUUCCAUAAUAUUCGACUAAUUGAGAAAAAAACCUUAGAUUACCUGGUCAAAUUUCUAAAAUGUAUUUUUUUUAUAAAAAAAUUAACACAUUUUAUAAUUUAAGCAACAAGAAAUGUAGAAAGACAUUAUCUUUCUUAUAUAAAUGUAGAAAGCUCUACAUAUUACGGC
rnacentral:lncRNA from 1 species